rnacentral:rRNA from 1 species
UGGGGAAUUUUCCGCAAUGGGCGAAAGCCUGACGGAGCAAUGCCGCGUGAAGGUGGAAGGCCUACGGGUGGUCAACUUCUUUUCUCGGAGAAGAAACAAUGAUGGUAUUUGAGGAAUAAGCAUAGGAUAACUCUGUGCCAGCAGCCAUGGUAAGACAGAGGAUGCAAGCGUUAUUCGGAAUGAUUGGGCAUAAAGCGUCUGUAGGUGGCUUUUCAAGUCCGCCAUCAAAUCGCAGGGCUGAACCCUGGACAAGCGAUGGAAACUACCAAGAUGGAGUACAAUAGGGUCAGAGGGAAUUUCUGGUGGAGCGGUGAAAUGCAUUGAGAUCGGAAAGAACACCAAUGGCGAAAGCACUCUGCUGGGCCGACACUGACACUGAGAGACAAAAGCUAGGGGAGCAAAUGGG